UACGGAGGAGGCAAGCGUUAUCCGGAAUUACUGGGCGUAAAGAGUUGCGUAGGCGGUUUUGUAAGCGUGUAGUGAAAUCAUGUGGCUCAACCACGUGUCUACUACACGAACUACAAAACUAGAGCAUGAGAGGGGUGGCUGGAAUUCCCGGUGUAGGAGUGAAAUCCGUAGAUAUCGGGAGGAACACCAAUGGCGUAGGCAGGCCACUGGCUCAUUGCUGACGCUCAGGCACGAAAGCGUGGGGAGCGAACCGG
rnacentral:misc_RNA from 1 species